AGAUGUGGGAGGAGCUUGUUUUAGGCAGGGAGGAGCAUCCGGUCUCUUCAGGAAGGGAAGUGAGGAUCAAUCGUACAUUGGUGGGUGACCAAGAACAGAGCAGCCUGACCCGUGUUUGCGGGAGAGAAUGUGUCAGACUGGAAAACCAAGGUGGAAAGAUUCACCUUUAGUCUGGGCCAUAACUUGCUGACAGCCUGUCUAACGGACAUGGAAGAAGGAAGCUUGCUCUCUUUGCUGCUUGCUCUGGCUCUCACUGGCAAGUCCAUUCCUUCACUGGCAUUAGAGCCUACUUCUUCAGGAUCCUGGCAUAUACUGAGGGCUAGCUGAGACAUCCAUCCUCAUGGGCUGAACAACUACUGGAUUCUCGGAUCUUCAUUCUGGCCCAAGGAAGCUUCCUCUUUCCAGAAGCAGCUGAUCACCUGGCAGGAAAAGAAAAGGCUUGCUCCGUCUUUUCCGGAGGACCACAUGGCUACAGAGCCUCCCAUGAGAUCAGUGGACGGUCAAGUUGGUCUCUGGUGUCCAUGGGGACGCUUGAGGAGAAGCCGAUUGCAUUGAGAUGUGUGGAAACAGGAUCAAUAAUGCUCAGUAACUGAGGAAGAUUACCAGAAGUCGACAAAGUCUAUAAGAGGGGCCAUGCAGAUCCACACCCGGGACUGUCGACACUUGGCGGGUGAUGGAGAAAGUCUAAUUUUGGCCAAAGAUGAAUCACUGUGCGUGGCUGUCACACCUCCUUUCGCCCUGUUCCAUUUUUGGAUCAGGAUAACUUGCCCAGCAGAGACUUGUCUAAUUUAAAUCCUGACUUACCUGAAUCAAAAUGAGUCAGAACUUGUAAACAAAACCUGCCCCAAGGACAGGAGCUGCCUCGUUCUCCUCAUAGACUCUCUUCUCAGAACUGAGUCCUGUAUCUGGUGUGUGUGUCAGGGAGAAGAUACAUAGAUGCGAUAGGACUGGAUUUAGGUGGCCAGGGGAAGAAGAAACAUCACUAAGUUAGAGCGUUUUCCUAGCCAAGAGGAUACAGAAGAGGCCACUUAAGACUUAUGACAGUAUUAAUAGUCAUGUACUGAUUCUUUAAAAGGGGAGAGGACGGGGGUUCCAGAGACAGCUCAGCCCCCAGGAGCAUUUGUUGCUAUUGCAAAGGACCCAGGUUUGGCUCAAGAACCCAGAUGGUGGCUGGCAACCAACUGUAACUCCAGUUCUAGAGGAGCCAAAGCUUUCUUUUGACCUCGGUGGGCCUCGCGCACAUGUGGCGUAUGUCCACACAUGCAGGCAAAACACUUGUACAUAUAAAAUACACUAAAUAAUUAAAAAAAUAAUUUUAAAAGCAGAGAGUUACUCAGUGGGUUAAAA